AGAGACGAAUCCGCGCUCCCCCAGGCUGCCGCGCGAGCUACUCGGAGGCUCCCACGUGAGCAGCGCAUCCUCAGGGCCUGGGUGGGCCUGGCCUCCUUGGCUAUGAGAUGGCACUGCGACAGUGCCCACCUCGUGGGCUGUGUGAGGGCCGAGUGAAAUCGUGCAUUUGCGAUUAACUGUACUGCGUCAGAGUCCUAAAUGGGGAAGGGAAGAGAUGAGAAGGGAUGAGAUCCCUGCUUCUUAUAGAAGACAGAGCCGGGAGGGACAGUAUUAAAACUUCUGUCAGCUGAAGGACAAUCAUGAACACAGAGGAGGCCUCUCUACAGCUCACAGGAGGCAAGGGAGACAUCCCUGUACGCAGACAGCCGCAGCCCGGGAAGCAGAUCUGCCCAUUCACCUAACAGGAGAGGCAGUGCCGAGCUUGCCUGGGAUUAGAGCCUCCCACCUUCUUGCUCCCCAGUUACGCAAGUUGCAGCUUGAUCACCCAGCAGCUCCUGGGGGCAAAUCCAUUUGAGUAACUGUUCAACAGCAUGUGCUUAAUUUCCAAGAAACUUUCCAUGAUCUUAUGUUUUAACACCAACUCUAACCUUCCCUGUUCUUUGUUUUUCAUAAAAACACUGCCCUUCUCCUGUU